GGUAGUGUGGCCGAGCGGUCUAAGGCGCUGGAUUAAGGCUCCAAUCUCUUAGCAGGCGUGGCUUCGAAUCCCACCGCUGCAG
rnacentral:tRNA from 1 species